rnacentral:rRNA from 1 species
GAUGAACGCUGGCGGCGUGCCUAAUACAUGCAAGUCGAGCGAACAGACGAGAGUGCUUGCACUCUCUGACGUUAGCGGCGGACGGGUGAGUAACACGUGGGUAACCUACCUAUAAGACUGGGAUAACUUCGGGAAACCGGAGCUAAUACCGGAUAAUAUUUAGCUUCGCAUGAAGCAAUAGUGAGAGACGGUUCUGCUGUCACUUAUAGAUGGACCCGCGGUGUAUUAGCUAGUUGGUGAGGUAACGGCUCACCAAGGCAACGAUACAUAGCCGACCUGAGAGGGUGAUCGGCCACACUGGGACUGAGACACGGCCCAGACUCCUACGGGAGGCAGCAGUAGGGAAUCUUCCGCAAUGGACGAAAGUCUGACGGAGCAAUGCCGCGUGAGUGAAGAAGGUUUUCGGAUCGUAAAACUCUGUUGUAAGGGAAGAACAAGUACGUUAGUAACUGAACGUACCUUGACGGUACCUUACCAGAAAGCCACGGCUAACUACGUG